rnacentral:tRNA from 1 species
GGGUCGUUAGCUCAGUCGGUAGAGCAUCUGACUUUUAAUCAGGUGGUCGCAGGUUCGAUCCCUGCACGACCCACCA